UUAACCCAACUUUGUAUGCAGUUGGAACGUUUGCGUUCGUUUGCCGCUAGGGGCGCUGUGCCGAUUGCAUACAAAUUACAGUUA
rnacentral:pre_miRNA from 1 species